rnacentral:tRNA from 2 species
GCGCCUAUCGUCUAGAGGCCCAGGACACCGCCCUUUCACGGCGGUAACAGGGGUUCGAAUCCCCUUAGGCGUA